CUCUCGCCCCAGCCGGUGACAGGCUGUUGCCCUGUGAUCUGCAGGUUCUGGGAGACGCACAGCUAAGAUGCCAGGACAUCCUGGAAGCUGGGAAAAGGUUCUGACAACAAAGGAGAUUGUGACAUAUUGCUGGGCCUAACACUAAGGUGAUGUUAGUUAUUUGCUUUGGCUGUGCCCUUGGAAGGCAUUGAGACAUACUGCUGUGCCCAGCACCAAGAUGAUGUAACGUGACUCUUCUGCUUCAGGCCUGCCAAAAGAAAAGAUUGUGACAGAUCACUGGACCCAGCACCUAGGUAGGAUUGUGACAUAUAUCUGGCCAAGCGUACAGAUGUAAUGAUGACUGUCAUACCUUGAAGAAGCCAAUAGCAGAGAGAAUGUUGCUCUCAGGCUUAGGAAAAUGAGGAAGUCUUUCUGUACAAAAGUCAUAAAGAAUUACUACUCUCUCACAUAUAUUACGCCCUAGUGUGUUACAGAGAAUGUCAUAACAGGGCCCAGCACACAAGUGAGAUUGUGUUUGUCCUAUGCACACUACACCAACCUUUACAGUUGUCACCCUGACCCAUUGACAGAGUCUGCUAGUGAGGUUCUGAAUUACAUGUGAACACAGUCCGCAGUUGGAAUUGUGACUGUCAUAUGUGAACAUCUGGCUACAGUUGGGAUGGUGACUCAUUUCUAAAUCCAGCUCAUAGGAAGGUGAAGACUCUCCUAUCUGGACUCAGUUGGUGAGAGAGAUGUUGACUCUCAUAUCUGGGCUUAGAACCACAGGAAAGAUUCUGGAGCUCCUUGUGCAAAGGUCAUAGAGGAUUAUCAAUCUUGCAUAUUGUAUAAAGUCCUCAGGUGACACAGAGUGUCUCUCGAAUGCACACCCAGGCAACAGUAAAGAUUGUCAUUCUCCCACAUAAACACAUCCCACUGUUGAAGUUCUGAAUUUCACAGAGGCUGUCAAAAGUUGGAUAAUUGCCUCUCAUGUGUGGAUCUGGUCCACAGGUGGGUUAGUGACUUCCAGACCAAGGUUCAGCGCACAUGUAAGGCUGUGACUACACUAAGAAGAUACAGUCUGCAGAAGAAACUGUGGCUCUUUUGCACACAUUCUGUCAAUCAUUGUGAUUGCGACUCAUGUACUUAGACCCAACAUACAGGAGGUGUUGACUUUCAUACCUUUAGAACCUGGACAUGUUUGGAAUUUCUAAUCUAAUCCCUGGACUUUCCUGCAGGUGUGAUUGUGUGCAUUGCAAAGCACCUUAGUGAUUUGACUCUCCUGCCUUGGCCAAGCACACAAAUGAGAUUGUGACAUAUGGCUUGACUCUGAACCUCCAAGAUGUGACUCUUUUUUCCAGCCUUGGAGCUGCCCACAUGUUGCAUUGUGACAUAUUCCUAAGCCCUGCACUCAGGUUAUGUGACUCUCCUUUUUUGCUUAGGCCCUGAAUAUUUUUCAUGUUAAGACAUAUUACUAGGUCCAACACCUAUAAAAUGGGAGACUACCACCUGGGCUCUUUCUACAGAGGGCCUUGUGACAUACCUCUGCAUCAAUAACCUAGGAGAUGUGAUGCUCCAUUUUUGCCUGUACGUGCCCCACAGAAAAAAUUGUGGCUGGCCCAGGUACCAGGUGAUGUGUCUCUGCUGCCUGGGCCUGGACCACAGAGAGCAUUGUUACUGAUUGCUGGGCUCAGCACCCAGGUGAUGUGACUCUGCUGCCUGUGUGCUGCUUUCAGGAGAAGGUUGUAACUUAUUCCUGGCUGAGUAUGCAGUCACACUCCUGACUGAUCUCUGCCCUCAGAAAAGGUUGUGUCAAGCCGGGCCCGGUGGCUCAUGCCAGUAAUCCCCAGCACUUAGGGAGACCGAGGUGGGUGGAUCGCCUGAGGAGUUUGAGACCAGAUGGCCAACAUGGUGAAACCCCGUCUCUACUAAAAAUACAAAAAUUAAUCGGGUGUGGUGGCGGGCACCUGUAAACUCAGCUAUUCGGGAGCCUGAGGCAGGAGAAUUGCUUGAACCCGGGAGGUGGAGGUUGCAGUGAGCCAAGAUCAUGCCACUGCACUCCAGCCUGGGCAGCAGAGCAAGAUUCCAUCUUGGGAAAAAAAUUACAAAAAUUAGCCAGGCGUGGUGGUAUGCACCUGUAGUCCCAGCUACUUGAGAGGCUGAGGCACAGCAGUCACUUGAACUUAGGAGGCGGAGGUUGCAGUGAGCCAAGACUGUGCCAUUGCACUCCAGCCUGGGCAACAAGAGCAAAACUCCAUCUCAAAAAAAAAAAAAAAAAAAAAAAGGUUGUGUCAUAUUCCUGGCUAAAAACCCAGAUGAUGUGACUCUCCUCUCUCCCUAUUCAUAGGCAGGAUUGUAAAAUAUAUCUUUUUUUUUUUGAGACAGUUUCAUUUUGUCACCCAGGCUGGAGUGCAGUGGCAUGAUCUUGGCUCACUGCAACCUCCGCUUCCUGGGUUCAAGCAAUUCUCUUGCCUCAGCCUCCUUAGUAGCUAGCCACCACACCUGGCUAAUUUUUGUAUUUCUAUUAGAGAUAGGGUUUCCCAAUGUUGGUGAGGCUGAUCUCAAACUCUUGACCUCAGGUGAUGCACCUGCCUCAGCCUCCCAAAGUGCUGGGAUUACAGGUGUGAGUGACUGCGCCUGGCCUGUAAAAUAUAUCUUGACCUAGAUCACAGAUGCAAUGAUUACUCUCAUACCUCACAGUAUUUAAUAGGAGAGAUGCUCUCUCUUGCUCUCGCUCUCUUU
rnacentral:lncRNA from 10 species